rnacentral:lncRNA from 1 species
CGCGCUCCUGGGCUCCCCCGCGCCUUCCCCAGCCUUCCCUCCGCAGAUGGAUUUCUGCCACUGCGGCUCAGCCGAGGGGCUCGGCGAUCUUCCAGUGAGCGCCCGGCUGGCAAGCGAGCAGAACCUCGGCACGACGCCGGCUCGGGCUGCGUGAAGGCGUGCGGGGGACGAAGCGGACCGAGCUGAGAAGCCGAGGCGGCGAGAGCGAGCGAGCGAGCGCGCGAGGGAGGAAGCGAGCGAGUCGGGGAGAGCCAGCGAAAGCGAGCGAGCGCAAGGGAACGCGGCAAGGGAGAAAAAUGGACAGAGCAAAAACGCAGCGGUUGCAGAAUUUGCGCGGCGCCAUUAGUUCGGCAGCCGGGCGUUCGACUGGGGCGUGAUUUCAGCACCAAGGGGGACUGGACAGCACCCGGAGGGGGGGUCUCCCGGGCAUCCGGCGGCGGCGGCGGCAUCAGAGGCACCAACAGGAGGAAUCCCUGCGGCCGCCUUGCUGCGCGGAAGGAAAGAUCGAGAGGAGAAAGAAGGGGGGAAAACACAGCAAGGUCAGUCCGAAGUCCAAGCCAUGCACAUGGGAGCCUCGCCUCUUCUUCUGCCGCUGCCCCAGCCUCAGCCCUGCCGCUCUCCUCCCGCAGACGCAGCGGCUGUUUCGGCCGAUUCCUAGCUAGAUCGACCCUUUAAGAGAGAGGAGAGAGAGAGAGAGACAGACGAGGUCGGCCCGGAGGGAUUGGCUUUGCUGUUUUUUUGGGGGAGGGGAGGGGGGUCUCCAGGGGUGGAGGUGAUGAAGGCGGGUGUCUUCAACUUUUCUCCAUCCUGUGCCUCGCAGUUCGUGGCUGGAUAGUUUGUGGAUAUGUUCCCGAAGUGGAGUCCGGACUGUUGCAGUCUUUGCAGGGGGAGGGAGCCAAUUUGCUUCUGGUUAUUUUUGAGUUUCCAUUGGAAGUCAACAUCUCCGAUAAUGCCUUCCCAUCUGAAUGUAAAACCGAAAACACAAAUACCCAUGGCAUUUUCUCUGGUGAUAAAAAGUGUUACAUAUUUGUUUGGGGCUUUUUUUGUUAAAGGAACAAACAUCACUGCUGCCGCCACAAAAAGUCAGAAGCAGCUAAGCAGGAUCAGUUAACAUCACCUGAGUGCUUCAGCUUCGAAGUUGAAUGGGAGAAGAUUUUUUGUGCUCUUGUAAAUCACACUCUUUAAACAAAAAAAUGACCUGGAGGAAAAUCUGAGCUGAGGGAGAAAAACAAAACAAAACACAAGCGAGACUUACUAAUUCUAUCUGAGGAUUUUAUAAUGGCAUAUUUUUUCAGUAUUAAAGUGAAAAUGUUUUCAAAGCUUGGUCAUUCCUAUUUGUUUUUUAAACCCCCCUCAGUGUCACUUUGUAAUUGCAGGUGGGAUUUUAAAAUGGAUUGCCUUUUUGGUUGCAGAGUGGAGCCCCUUGCCUUCAUUCAAGUGCAGGUCCAGCCGUGUAUGUCUCUCCAGUUCUAAACCAUGCAAAUUUCACUCA